AACGAACGCUGGCGGCAGGCUUAACACAUGCAAGUCGAACGCCCCGCAAGGGGAGUGGCAGACGGGUGAGUAACGCGUGGGAACAUACCCUUUUCUACGGAAUAGCUCUGGGAAACUGGAAUUAAUACCGUAUACGCCCUACGGGGGCAAGAUUUAUCGGGGAAGGAUUAGCCCGCGUUGGAUUAGCUAGUGGGUGGGGUAAAGGCCUACCAAGGCGACGAUCCAUAGCUGGUCUGAGAGGAUGAUCAGCCACACUGGGACUGAGACACGGCCCAGACUCCUACGGGAGGCAGCAGUGGGGAAUAUUGGACAAUGGGCGCAAGCCUGAUCCAGCCAUGCCGCGUGAGUGAUGAAGGCCCUAGGGUUGUAAAGCUCUUUCACCGGUGAAGAUAAUGACGGUAACCGGAGAAGAAGCCCCGGCUAACUUCGUGCCAGCCGCCGCAGUAACAC
rnacentral:rRNA from 1 species